rnacentral:lncRNA from 1 species
CCGGUCUCUGCGGCGCGGUGUCGUAACGCUCCGCAUUCCUGGGAGCCUGCGCUCCCGGUUCAUGGAAUUGUGCUCCCGGCCCCGGGCGAAAACAGCAGCGACAACAACAAAAAGCAGGCGAGCCUUUGGCCGGGUUUUGGGAGGCUCCAGAAAUGAGUUCCAGAAGAAAGUGUUCCGGGCAGGAGUUCAGGGCAUGGACAGCGGGAGGAGGCAGCGGGAAAAGCUGGAUAAUCCUGGCCUUGCGUCACCUCCCGCGGCCCCACGUGCACAGCCAACAACGCCAAUGAGGAGGGCUUGGAGGCGCCGUUCCCCUGCCGGGGAAGGGACGGAUCAGGGAACACCAGCAAGGAGAAGAUCUUCCAAACUCUGUUUGGAUGGAUCCAGGGAGAUGAACCUGCUGAGGAGAGGGACUGAGCCAACACUGCGGCAGAAGAAGGGGUAAGGGUUGCGCACGUGGCUGGGAAAGGGAGAGGAUUUGGGAAUGAGAUCCCGAUGCCGUGAUAGUGUCCCUGUGGGAGAUGGAUUGGUCCGGGGGUGUGAGAAAGGAAUAUUUGGAAGUGUGUGGGUGUGAGGUGUGUGUGAGACUGUGCCUGCCUUUCCCUCCCCACACUCUGAGAACCUUUUCGGGGUGUUCACACAGGCCUCAGCUCCCAAAAUAAUCCACCCAUCCUGAAAAAUUCCGGAGUCUGCAGCCCCCUGGAGGAGAUGGAUUUGCUCCUGUGCCUCGGGAUUGGUUUCCCUCAGCUCAUGCUGCAGAAGAUGGGGUAUUUCUCCUUCUGGGAGACAGCUGAGGAGAAGCAAAGCUGUCACCCCAUCCCCGUGUCAGAAAAAUCCCCCAAAAGAGGGAAAAAGCAGCUCCUUCCACAGAAACCUUGGGGUUUCCUCUGGCUCGGUCCUCUCACAGGUGUGGGAUCCAAAAACCUGGGAACGGGCAAGGAUCUGCAUCCUUUGGAGGUAAACCUGGAAAUGCCGCUUCCGGAUAAGGAGGAUUCCCAAUCCCUUUUCCUCCGUCUGGGGAGCCAUAAAAUUUGGGAUGGAUCCAUGCUCCACAACAGGUCCAGGCAGGAAGCGGGGAGGGAUCCAUGGAGACCUUCGGGGGAAUUUCGGGAGGUGGAAGGUAAUUAACACCGACUGGAAUUUGGCCAGGAUUCCGGAUCAUUCCGGCUCCGUCAUCCCAAAACUGGGAUGAAAAU